UACGGGGGGAGCAAGCGUUGUUCGGAUUUACUGGGCGUAAAGGGCGCGUAGGCGGUCAGCACAAGUCAGUUGUGAAAUCUCCGGGCUUAACUCGGAAAGGUCAACUGAUACUGUGCGACUAGAGUGCAGAAGGGGCAACUGGAAUUCUCGGUGUAGCGGUGAAAUGCGUAGAUAUCAGGAGGAAUACCGAUGGCGAAGGCAGGUCUCUGGGCUGACACUGACGCUCAUGCACGAAAGCGUGGGGAGCAAACAGG
rnacentral:rRNA from 1 species